GAUGAACGCUGGCGGCGUGCCUAAUACAUGCAAGUCGAGCGCGCGCGUAAGGAGCUUGCUCCUUACAAUCGAGCGGCGGACGGGUGAGUAACACGUGGGCAACCUACCCUUUAGACUGGGAUAACUACCGGAAACGGUAGCUAAUACCGGCUAAGUUGGAUUACACAAGUAAUCUUCAUGAAAGGAGGAUUUAUCUGUCACGAAAGGAUGGGCCUGCGGUGCAUUAGCUAGUUGGUGAGGUAGUGGCUCACGAAGGCAACGAUGCAUAGCCGACCUGAGAGGGUGAUCGGCCACACUGGGACUGAGACACGGCCCAGACUCCUACGGGAGGCAGCAGUAGGGAAUCUUCCGCAAUGGACGCAAGUCUGACGGAGCAACGCCGCGUGAGUGAAGAAGGGUUUCGGCUCGUAAAACUCUGUUGUUAAGGAAGAACACUUUAGGUAGUAACUGGCCUAGAGAUGACGGUACUUAACCAGAAAGCCACGGCUAACUACGUGCCAGCCGCCGCCGUAA
rnacentral:rRNA from 1 species